AGAACGAACGCUGGCGGCAUGCCUAAUACAUGCAAGUCGAACGAACACUCUGACUUCGGUUGGGGUGUUAGUGGCGCACGGGUGCGUAACGCGUGGGAAUCUGCCCUUGGGUUCGGAAUAACAGUUGGAAACGACUGCUAAUACCGGAUGAUAUCGAAAGAUCAAAGAUUUAUCGCCCAGGGAUGAGCCCGCGUAGGAUUAGCUAGUUGGUGGGGUAAAGGCUCACCAAGGCGACGAUCCUUAGCUGGUCUGAGAGGAUGAUCAGCCACACUGGGACUGAGACACGGCCCAGACUCCUACGGGAGCAGCAGUAGGGAAUAUUGGACAAUGGGCGCAAGCC
rnacentral:rRNA from 1 species